CCUACGGGUGGCUGCAGUGGGGAAUAUUGCACAAUGGGGGAAACCCUGAUGCAGCGACGCCGCGUGAGUGAAGAAGUAUUUCGGUAUGUAAAGCUCUAUCAGCAGGGAAGAAAAUGACGGUACCUGACUAAGAAGCCCCGGCUAACUACGUGCCAGCAGCCGCGGUAAUACGUAGGGGGCAAGGGUUAUCCGGAUUUACUGGGUGUAAAGGGAGCGUAGACGGCGAGGCAAGUCUGAAGUGAAAUCCCAGGGCUCAACCAUGGGACUGCUUUGGAAACUGCGUAGCUGGAGUGCUGGAGAGGCAAGCGGAAUUCCUAGUGUAGCGGUGAAAUGCGUAGAUAUUAGGAGGAACACCAGUGGCGAAGGCGGCUUGCUGGACAGUAACUGACGUUGAGGCUCGAAAGCGUGGGGAGCAAACAGGAUUAGAUACCCCGGUAGUC
rnacentral:rRNA from 1 species